rnacentral:ribozyme from 1 species
UGCCAAGCAACUCCUAUCUCUAUCUCCUCGUGGUACUGGCCGGGGUUCGAGUAACCUUAGGGAGAUCGGGUAACCAACUCCGGUGGGAACUUUGGUCGUAUGCUGACGACAGGGAAGG